rnacentral:rRNA from 1 species
GAUGAACGCUAGCGAUAGGCCUAACACAUGCAAGUCGAGGGGCAGCAUAGAGUAGCAAUACUUUGAUGGCGACCGGCGCACGGGUGAGUAACACGUAUGCAACCUACCUACAUCGGGGAAAAACCCCGAGGAAAUCGGACUAAUACCGCAUAAUACCGGGGAUCCGGCAGGGAAACUUUGUUUAAAGUUUUUCGGAAGGAGGUGGGCAUGCGUUCCAUUAGGUGGUUGGUAAGGUAACGGCUUACCAAGGCAACGAUGGAUAGGGGAACUGAGAGGUUUGUCCCCCACACUGGAACUGAGACACGGACCAGACUCCUACGGGAGGCAGCAGUGAGGAAUAUUGGUCAAUGGACGAGAGUCUGAACCAGCCAAAUCGCGUGAAGGAAGACUGCCCUACGGGUUGUAAACUUCUUCUGUACAGGAAUAAAAGACAUUACGUGUAAUGUAUUGCAUGUACUGUACGAAUAAGCAUCGGCUAACUCCGUGCCAGCAGCCGCGGUAA